CGGCGGACGGGUGAGUAACGCGUGGGUAACCUGCCUCAUACAGGGGGAUAACAGUUGGAAACGGCUGCUAAUACCGCAUAAGCGCACAGUACCGCAUGGUACCGUGUGAAAAACUCCGGUGGUAUGAGAUGGACCCGCGUCUGAUUAGGUAGUUGGUGGGGUAACGGCCUACCAAGCCGACGAUCAGUAGCCGACCUGAGAGGGUGACCGGCCACAUUGGGACUGAGACGUGGCCCAA
rnacentral:rRNA from 1 species